GAUGAACGCUGGCGGCGUGCCUAAUACAUGCAAGUCGAGCGAAUGGAUUAGGAGCUUGCUCUUAUGAAGUUAGCGGCGGACGGGUGAGUAACACGUGGGUAACCUGCCCAUAAGACUGGGAUAACUCCGGGAAACCGGGGCUAAUACCGGAUAACAUUUUGAACCGCAUGGUUCGAAAUUGAAAGGCAGCUUCGGCUGUCACUUAUGGAUGGACCCGCGUCGCAUUAGCUAGUUGGUGAGGUAACGGCUCACCAAGGCAACGAUGCGUAGCCGACCGGAGAGGGUGAUCGGCCACACUGGGACUGAGACACGGCCCAGACUCCUACGGGAGGCAGCAGUAGGGAAUCUUCCGCAAUGGACGAAAGUCUGACGGAGCAACGCCGCGUGAGUGAUGAAGGCUUUCGGGUCGUAAAACUCUGUUGUUAGGGAAGAACAAGUGCUAGUUGAAUAAGCUGGCACCUUGACGGUACCUAACCAGAAAGCCACGGCUAACUACGUGCCAGCCGCCGCGGUAA
rnacentral:rRNA from 1 species